AUGACCAGGCAGACCAGUGAUGUCACCAAGAUCCCUUUCCUUUGGAACAGAAAUAGCUGUCUUCAGACGGGGCUCCAUCCUGGGUUGGGUGAUGGGAGACUGCUGGCCCGGGCACCCCCAUCAGGAGGAACCCAGCCUGGCCCCUGGCCCCUGGCCCCAGCACAGAUGGCAGCUGGGGAAGCAGCUCACUUCUCGGCUCCUGAGAAACCAUGGGAAUGGGGCGUGGUGAUUAAUGGACACAGAGCUGCAGGAAACACGGGGCUUGGCGGCUUGGCCUUUGUUGGAUUCUGUUCUUAUCAGCACUUCCAAAGAAGCGAAAACAGGCAGAGUUCUCACAGCCACCGGGCCAAGGCCGGCAAGAGAUUACACAGCCCCUCGGGUACCCGCCAAAGCCUCCUGACCCACUUCCUGCGCGCAGAGCCUUCGGGGAGUGGGGACCGCCAACCCCUGGCCGACCAGUCCGCAUCAGAACUCGGAGCCUGCAGUCUCAGCUGCUCCAGAAUCUGCCCAUGGAAGAAACCACUCAAGCUUGGUUCUACAGGGGUCCCGUGGAGGGCACACCGAGUGACACCUGGGUCUGAGCACCAGAGAGGCAGUGAGGAGCGAAGAGAGACAUCUGCCCACGGGAGUCCUGGCCCGUCCUUGCCUGGGGUUGGGCAACACAGCAGGGCAGAGAGCCUCAGGUCUACCUGGCCAGAGCACCUGCAGCCUCUCGGCCCACCUGGAAGGGCAUCGGGAGAGGCAGGUGCACAUGCAAGUCAUCACAGGGCGACCCAAGCUCACCAGUGGGAGCUGGAUGUCCAUGUGCCUGAGCGCGGAGCCUGAUGGGCACAGGCCUCCUAGGAGCCCAAGGCGACUCAGGUGAGAGGCAUGCCUUGCCAAGUUGACCCAUUCCAGACUUCUCUGUGGGAGUGAUGAUGACAAGAAGGACACCAGCGAACAGCGCUCAUGAGGGCAUCCAUGGUCCCCUGCUCCAGCUCCAUCAUCGAUACACAUUUGCCCAUCUAAGCCUAUGGCUGGGGCCAGCACUAUGGCACAGUGGGUGAGGCCAUCCUCUGCAGUGCCAGCAUCCCACAAUGGGUGUCUGUUUGAGUCCCGGCUGCUCCACUUCCUAUCCAUCUCUCUGCUGUGGCCUGGGAAAGCAGUCGAAGAUAGCCCAAGUCCUUGGGACCCUGCACCUGUGUGGGAGACCUGGAAGAAGCUCCUGCCUCCUGGCUUCGGAUCAGCCCAACUCCGGCUGUUAUGGCCAUUUGGGGAGUGAACCAGCAGAUGGAAGACUCUCUCUCUCUCUCUGCCUCUCUCUAACUCCACCUUUCAAAUAAAUAAACAAAUCUUUAAAAAUAAACUUCA
rnacentral:lncRNA from 1 species